CUCAUUAAUGAGAUUUAACUUGUCCCUAAAGAGGAAUUCAAAUUUAAACUCAUACAGGAAUAUGGGAAUAGGUGGGAUGAAGGUAGUCUAUCUUUGACAAUCUUUUCAAUUUCUUUUUAGUUACUGAUUUAUACAAGUUUUCUAACUGUGCUUCAAGUUUGGUGGUUUGUAUUUUCCUUUAAAAAAUCACCUAUUUUUCUCAGAUUUUCACAUUUAUUUGGCCUAAACUUGAACAUUAAAUGUCUUUAUAACUUUAAAGAUCUCCAUAUUAGUGCCUAUAGCCUUUCAUAUUUUGUAAUGUUAUACAUUUACAUUUUAAAUAAUGUUUUAAUUUUAUCAUUUAUGUUUUUUAAUGUGCUAAUUCAUUAGUGUCUACUUCUAUCCUUAUUAACUCCUUGUUCCUACAUUCUUCUGAUUUAUUUUGUUCUUUAUCUUUUUUUUCUCCCCCAGACUCGCUCUGUUGCCCAGGCUGGAUCAUAGCUCACUGAAGCCUCAAGUGAUCCUCUUGUGUCAGCCUGCCAGGUAGCUAGAUCUGCAGGCGUGACCCACUCCACUAGGCCCUUUUUCUGGUUUCUUGAGUUAGGUGCUUAUUUGCAAUAUCUUCUGGCUGUUAAUAAAAAUAUGUAAGGCUAUAUAUUUUUCUUUAAAUAAAGCUUUGGCCAAAUCCCAUAUACUUUGAUAAAGUGUUCUAUUAAUUUCUUUAGUCUAAAGGCUAUUUAAAAAAUAGUUUAAAAUUUCCAGGGGGUUAGUUCUUUUUUGGUGGGGGAGAAGCUUUUUGUAGUUAAUUUCAAGUUUAAUGCAUUACAUUAACAAGAUGUGGCCUGUUAUGAUUUCUACUUUUAAGAGUUCAUAUUUUUCUUUGUGGUCUGGUACAUGAUCGAUUUUUAAAAGUGUUUCAGAAACAACAUAAUUUUAUCCUCUGUUCGGUGCAAAUUUAGAUAUGUAGUGAGCCCUCUGUGUACUAAGCUAAUUAUUCAAAUCCUUGCUGUCCUUGACACCUGUUUUAAAGUUUCCUUCUUGGCCAGGCAUGGUGGCUGCCACCUGUAAUCUUAGCACUUUGGGAAGCUGAGGCAGGAGGAUUGCUUGAGCCCAACGAGUUGGAGACCAGACUGGGCAACAUA
rnacentral:lncRNA from 10 species